UACAGAGGGUGCGAGCGUUAAUCGGAAUUACUGGGCGUAAAGCGCGCGUAGGGCGGCUUUGCAAGUCGGGUGUGAAAUCCCCAAGGCUUAACCUGGGAACUGCAUUCGAGACUGCAUUGCUAGAGUAUGGGAGAGGGAAGUGGAAUUCCGGUGUAGCGGUGAAAUGCGUAGAUAUCGGAAGGAACAUCAGUGGCGAAAGCGACUUCCUGGACCAAUACUGACGCUCAUGUGCGAAAGCGUGGGGAGCAAACAGG
rnacentral:rRNA from 1 species